rnacentral:rRNA from 1 species
AGCGAACGCUGGCGGCAGGCUUAACACAUGCAAGUCGAGCGGGCACUUCGGUGUCAGCGGCAGACGGGUGAGUAACACGUGGGAACGUACCCUUUGGUUCGGAAUAACGCUGGGAAACUAGCGCUAAUACCGGAUACGCCCUUUUGGGGAAAGGCUUGCUGCCGAAGGAUCGGCCCGCGUCUGAUUAGCUAGUUGGUGGGGUAAUGGCCUACCAAGGCGACGAUCAGUAGCUGGUCUGAGAGGAUGAUCAGCCACACUGGGACUGAGACACGGCCCAGACUCCUACGGGAUGCAGCAGUGGGUAAUAUUGCACAAUGGGCGCAAGCCUGAUCCAGCCAUGCCUCGUGAGUGAUGAAGGCCUUAGAGUUGUAAAGCUCUUUUGUCCGGGACGAUAAUGACGGUACCGAAAGAAUAAGCCCCGGCUAACUUCGUG